GACGAACGCUGGCGGCGUGCUUAACACAUGCAAGUCGUACGGUAAGGCCCUUUCGGGGGUACACGAGUGGCGAACGGGUGAGUAACACGUGAGUAACCUGCCCACAACUUUGGGAUAACGCUAGGAAACUGGUGCUAAUACUGGAUAUGUGCUCCUGCUGCAUGGUGGGGGUUGGAAAGCUCCGGCGGUUGUGGAUGGACUCGCGGCCUAUCAGCUUGUUGGUGGGGUAGUGGCCUACCAAGGCGGCGACGGGUAGCCGGCCUGAGAGGGUGACCGGCCACAUUGGGACUGAGAUACGGCCCAGACUCCUACGGGGGGCAGCAGUGGGGAAGAUUGCACAAUGGGCGCAAGCCUGAUGCAGCAACGCCGCGUGCGGGAUGACGGCCUUCGGGUUGUAAACCGCUUUCAGCAGGGACGAAGCUUUUUGUGACGGUACCUGCAGAAGAAGCACCGGCUAACUACGUG
rnacentral:rRNA from 1 species